rnacentral:rRNA from 1 species
UACGAAGGGGGGCUAGCGUUGCUCGGAAUGACUGGGCGUAAAGGGCGCGUAGGCGGACGGCUUUGUCGGGCGUGAAAUUCCAGGGCUUAACCUUGGGGCUGCGUUCGAGACGGGUUGUCUAGAGUUUGGAAGAGGGUCGUGGAAUUCCCAGUGUAGAGGUGAAAUUCGUAGAUAUUGGGAAGAACACCGGUGGCGAAGGCGGCGACCUGGUCCGAUACUGACGCUGAGGCGCGAAAGCGUGGGGAGCAAACAGG